AACUCCAAUUGAAAAUUUCUUGCUAUUGAACAAUAUUGUGCAAUUAGAUAUUUCUUGCUAUUGCGCAAUACUGUGCAAUUGAAAAUACUUGCUAUUGCACAAUACUGUGCAAUUGAAGAUUUCUUGCUAUUGCACAAUACUGUGCAAUUGAAGAUUUCUUGCUAUUGUGCAAUACUGUGCAAUUGAAAAUUUCUUGCUAUUGCACAAUACUGUGCAAUUGAAGAUUUCUUGCUAUUGCUGAAUACUGUGCAAUUGAAAAGUUCUUGCUAUUGCACAAUACUUAAUAUAAUAAUUUUGGAUCCUGAUUUGGACCAACUUGAAAACUGG
rnacentral:lncRNA from 1 species